rnacentral:rRNA from 1 species
UGCAAGCCGAGCGGUAUUGUUUCUUCGGAAAUGAGAGAGCGGCGUACGGGUGCGGAACACGUGUGCAACCUGCCUUUAUCUGGGGGAUAGCCUUUCGAAAGGAAGAUUAAUACUCCAUAAUAUAUUGAACGGCAUCGUUUAAUAUUGAAAGCUCCGGCGGAUAGAGAUGGGCACGCGCAAGAUUAGCUAGUUGGUGAGGUAACGGCUCACCAAGGCGAUGAUCUUUAGGGGGCCUGAGAGGGUGAUCCCCCACACUGGUACUGAGACACGGACCAGACUCCUACGGGAGGCAGCAGUGAGGAAUAUUGGUCAAUGGGUGCAAGCCUGAACCAGCCAUCCCGCGUGAAGGACGACUGCCCUAUGGGUUGUAAACUUCUUUUGUAUAGGGAUAAACCUACCCUCGUGAGGGUAGCUGAAGGUACUAUACGAAUAAGCACCGGCUAACUCCGUGCCAGCAGCCGCGGUAAUACGGAGGGUGCAAGCGUUAUCCGGAUUUAUUGGGUUUAAAGGGUCCGUAGGCGGACUUAUAAGUCAGUGGUGAAAGCCUGUCGCUUAACGAUAGAACUGCCAUUGAUACUGUAAGUCUUGAGUAUAUUUGAGGUAGCUGGAAUAAGUAGUGUAGCGGUGAAAUGCAUAGAUAUUACUUAGAACACCAAUUGCGAAGGCAGGUUACCAAGAUAUAACUGACGCUGAGG